UCUCCUGGAAACGGGUGGUAAUGCCGGAUGUUCCACAUGAGCGCAUGCGAGUGUGGGAAAGGCUUUUUGCGGCAUGGGAUGGGGUCGCGUCCUAUCAGCUUGUUGGUGGGGUAACGGCCUACCAAGGCGUUGACGGGUAGCCGGCCUGAGAGGGCGACCGGCCACAUUGGGACUGAGAUACGGCCCAGACUCCUACGGGAGGCAGCAGUGGGGAAUAUUGCACAAUGGGCGCAAGCCUGAUGCAGCGACGCCGCGUGCGGGAUGGAGGCCUUCGGGUUGUAAACCGCUUUUGUUCAAGGGCAAGGCACGGUUUCGGCCGUGUUGAGUGGAUUGUUCGAAUAAGCACCGGCUAACUACGUGCCAGCAGCCGCGGUAAUACGUAGGGUGCAAGCGUUAUCCGGAUUUAUUGGGCGUAAAGGGCUCGUAGGCGGUUCGUCGCGUCCGGGUGUGGAAGUCCAUCGCUUAACGGUGGAUCCGCGCCGGGUACGGGCGGGCUUGAGUGCGGUAGGGGAGACUGGAAAUUCCCGGUGUAACGGUGGAAUGUGUAGAUUAUUCGGGAUGAACACCU
rnacentral:rRNA from 1 species